CACAAUAAAGAGUACAUCUCAAAGACAGCAACGUUAUUAUUUAUGGUUUGAUGCUGCUGACUAUCAAUUUAUAUUCUUUUGUGAGAUAUUAUUGCAAGAUAUUCUGUAUCAUCAUAAGGGGUGUGACAUUUUGCUCCCCAGGAUUUCAUUGGGAUCUGUUACGCAGCAGGGGUUCCUGGAACAGUCACUAGGAAAAGAAUCAGCAAACUGUUGCAGUUUGGCUUUAAAGUUUCAAUGGUCAUUAUCUAAAGAUUUUCAAAGAGAACACAUUGAGUACAGGUUCCAUGCAUACAGGAGUCUGGAUCUUUAUAGGUUUCCCAUGGACUUUAUAAAAUUCAGCCCAGAACUGGAAUCCAAGGAUGUGUGCUGAAAUACGAUUGAUGUUCACUCAUAAAGGAUUACACAUCCAGAGGCAAUGAAAUCAUUAAAGUGAAAUGACUGGAGUCGACAGCGAAUGUGUGAAUCUCGUUGAAGAUGAAUGCCCUGGGAAGGUAGAAAAUAUCUACAUGUAGACUCAACAUCCAGAGGAUGAAUCUACGAGUAACAAAACUUGAACAGAGCUCUGAUGGUGGGUGAAGAAUCUUGUGACAUCUGUGACCUUCCUGGAAUGCAAUAUCACAUUGUGGUGUACACUUUUAAGCUUAUAGUACACAGAAGAUGUUACACAUAAACCUCAAUGUAUUGGUCAUGUAUUACUGCCUUUUUGUGAAGGAAGUGUAGCAGGGAGGAGAGCAUGCAGGGCAUAGGGAAGGUCACUUGUAUUUUGAGCUGUUGGUUUGAGUCUGAAAAAAUAUUUUCCAAAAGCAUCUGCACCUCUAAACUAUUAACCCUAUCACGUUGUCAAAACUCUUGAGCUGAGUAUGAUAUAGUUGAGACAUUAUUUUAUGCAUUAUUUAUAAACACCUGAUAAUGUGAUGUUUUAAUAAGGUUGCCCUCAUUCUUCUAAAUUCCAACAAGUAUAGGCCCAACUUACUCAACUUCUCCUCAUAAGAAAAUCCCUCCAAACCUGGACUGCCUCCAAUGCAAGUAUCCUUAGAUAAGAGUCUCAAAACUGUCUACAAUAUUCCAGCUGUGGUCUGACUAGUAUUUUGUAUAGUUUUAGCAAAACUUCCCUGUUUUUGCACUCCAUUCCCUUUGAAACAAAGGCCAACAUUCUAUUCGCCUUCCUUGUUGCCUGCUAACCUUGAAGGUUUGCGAUUCGUCCAUGAGGACAGAUUUGUAUCAUCGAAAACCACAAGGGAGAUACUGGCAAACUGGAGGUUGGAUAAUGUGGUGCCAUUAUUUAAGAAAGGUGGUAAGGAAAAGCCAGGGAACCAAAGACUGGUGAGCCUGACAUCAGUGGUGAGUAGGUUGU